rnacentral:rRNA from 1 species
UAGAUUUUGAUCAUGGCUCAGGAUAUUCGUAACUCGGUACCCGGUAGUCGUAACUCGGUACCCGGAAAGUUUGAUCAUGGCUCAGGUAACUCUUAACAAGGUAGCCGUAGAGUUUGAUCUGGCUCAGGAAAGUCGUAACAAGGUAGCCGUAAGUCGUAACAAGGGAUCCGUAAGUCGUAACUGGGUACCGUAGAGUUUGAUCAUGGCUCAGGUGAAGUCGUAACAAGGUAACCGUACCGUGAAUUUUGAUC